rnacentral:lncRNA from 11 species
AAACAACAUAGAUGUGCUUGUGUGGCCAAGCCAGGCCAAUUCUGAAAAGGCCAUCGAUGCUUUUUGACUUUGGUCUCUCUGAUCAUCCAAAAAGGGGAAAGAGGAAACUGCCCCCCAAAAGAAUAAUAAAGGGAGAACCAAAGUGAAAAGAUGCUGACAAGUGCAUUCUUCAGCCAAAGUUCUUUAGAUCUGAAACAAACCGCC